rnacentral:rRNA from 1 species
GAUCAUGGCUCAGGAUGAACGCUGGCUACAGGCUUAACACAUGCAAGUCGAGGGGCAGCAUGCCGGUUGCUUGCAACCGGUGAUGGCGACCGGCGCACGGGUGAGUAACGCGUACCCAACCUUCCCGCGACCAAGGGAUAACCUGCCGAAAGGCAGACUAAUACCUUAUGUCCUCCUUUGAAGGCAUCUGACGAGGAGCAAAGAUCCNGUCG